rnacentral:rRNA from 1 species
UACAGAGGGGGCAAGCGUUGUUCGGAAUUACUGGGCGUAAAGGGCGCGUAGGCGGCCUGUUAAGUCGAACGUGAAAUCCCUGGGCUCAACCCAGGAACUGCGUCCGAUACUGGCAGGCUUGAAUCCGGGAGAGGGAUGUGGAAUUCCAGGUGUAGCGGUGAAAUGCGUAGAUAUCAGGAAGAACACCAAUGGCGAAGGCAGCUCUCUGGGACGGUACUGACGCUGAGACGCGAAAGCGUGGGGAGCGAACAGG